GCAGCUGAAGGGUUCUUUGUACCUAUGCAAAGGACAUGGAAAUGUCAAUUGUUAAAUGCCAAAGAGGGCGACAACUACUGUGAAACUUUCAAUAGUUAAAAUUGAUGUGUAGACUGUGAAAUGGUUGUGCAUUUAUAUUCUCAACAAGAAAAAAUAUUGAAUGUCAGCGUGUGUGAGAGAGAAAAAGCAAAAUAAAACCAACCAUUAAACUAACGAAGGAUGAAAGAACUCCCAGCUGAGUAAUCUAAAAGAAAACUAAAGCUUGCUUUGCAAAAAUUUGUCGAGCAAGUCUUAUUAGUUAAUGUAAGAGCAUGGCAUACCUCAAGCUGCUCAUGCAGCUG
rnacentral:misc_RNA from 1 species